rnacentral:rRNA from 1 species
CACUCUUGGGAUGGGACCUGCGGUGCAUUAGCUAGUUGGUAGGGUAAUGGGCCUACCAAGGCGAUGAUGCAUAGCCCGAGUUGAGAGACUGAUCGGGCCACAUUGGGGACUGAGACACGGGCCCAAAACUCCUACGGGGAGGCAGCAGUAGGGAAUCUUCCACAAUGGACGCAAGUCUGAUGGAGCAACGCCGCGUGAGUGAAGAAGGGUUUCGGCUCGUAAAAGCUCUGUUGUUGGUGAAGAAGGACAGGGGUAGUAACUGACCUUUGUUUGACGGUAAUCAAUUAGAAGUCACGGCUAACUACGUGCCAGCAGCCGCGGUAAU